rnacentral:lncRNA from 1 species
GUGGGUGACAUCCCCGUUUUGUCCCUUUUUCUCCCUUUUUCUCCCUUUUUCUCCCUUUUUCUCCCUUUUUCUCCCUUUUUAUCACUUUUUUCCCCCAAACUCACCUUUUUUUUGUUUUUUUUUCCCCCAGAUUGAUCAGCGAGCGCACGGUGGAGGAGAACAUCCUAAAAAAAGCCAACCAGAAGAGGAUGCUCGGGGACAUGGCCAUCGAGGGGGGCAACUUCACCACCGCCUACUUCAAGCAGCAAACCAUCCGGGAGCUCUUCGACAUGGCGCCCGAGCGGGACGGGGACACCAAGGAGAGGGACAAGGACAAGGACAAGGACAAGGACAAGGACAAGGACAAGGACAAGGACAAGGACAGGGACAGGGACAGGGACAGGGACAGGGACAGGGAUGGGCCGCAGGAGGAGGACGAGGACCCCGCGGCCACCCGGCGAACGCACAUCCUGGAGCAGGUCAGAUGCGUGUCCCCAACGUGUCCCCAACGCGUCCCCAAUGUGUCCCCAACAAUGUCCCCAAUGACGUUCCCAAUGAUGUCCCCAACGUGUCCCCAAUGACAAUCCCAAAAAUAUCCCCAAGAUGUCCCCAGCCAUAUCCCCAGUGAUGUCCCCAAGAUGUCCCCAACCAUGUCCCCAACGUGUCCCUGAUGACAUUCCCAACAAUAUUCCCAACCAUGUCCCCAAGAUGUCCCCAAGAUGUCCCCAAUGACGUCCCCAAUGACAUUCCCAACCAUAUCCCCAACAAUAUCCCCAACCAUGUCCCCAACGAUGUCCCCAAGAUGUCCCCAACGAUGUCCCCAACGUCUCUUCAACGUGUCCCCAGCCAUGUCCCCAAUGAUGUUCCCAAUAGUAUCUCCAAUGAUGUCCCCAAAAUGCCCCCAUUGUGUCCCCAAGAUGUCCCCAACCAUGUCCCCAAUGAUGUCCCCAACACUUCCCCAAGAUGUCCCCAUUAUGUCCCCAACGCGUCCCCAACGUGUCCCUGAUGACAUUCCUAACAAUAUUCCCAACGAUGUCCCCAAACAUGUCCCCAAUGACAUUCCCAAAAAUACCCCAUAAUGUCCCCAACCAUAUCGCCAACAAUGUCCCCAACGUGUCCCCAAUGACGUUCCCAACCGUGUCCCCAACGUGUCCUCGAUGACAUUCCUAACAAUAUUCCCAACCAUGUCCCCAAGAUGUCCCCAAGAUGUCCCCAAUGACAUUCUCAACCAUGUUCCCAACAAUAUUCCCAACGAUGUCCCCAACCAUGUCCCCAACGAUGUCCCCAAUGACAAUCCCAACCAUAUCCCCAACAAUGUCCCCAACAACGUCCCCAACGAUGUCUUCGUGUCCCCAACGAUGACCCCAACGUCUCCCCAACGUGUCCCCAACCAUGUCCCCAGUGACCUUCCCAACAG